GUGGGGAAUUUUGGACAAUGGGCGCAAGCCUGAUCCAGCAAUGCCGCGUGCAGGAAGAAGGCCUUCGGGUUGUAAACUGCUUUUGUACGGAACGAAACGGUCCUGGUUAAUACCCGGGGCUAAUGACGGUACCGUAAGAAUAAGCACCGGCUAACUACGUGCCAGCAGCCGCGGUAAUACGUAGGGUGCAAGCGUUAAUCGGAAUUACUGGGCGUAAAGCGUGCGCAGGCGGUGCUGUAAGACAGGCGUGAAAUCCCCGGGCUUAACCUGGGAAUUGCGCUUGUGACUGCAGUGCUGGAGUGCGGCAGAGGGGGAUGGAAUUCCGCGUGUAGCAGUGAAAUGCGUAGAUAUGCGGAGGAACACCAGUGGCGAAGGCGACCACCUGGACUGAUACUGACACUGAGGUGCGAAAGCGUGGGGAGCAAACAGGAUUAGAUACCCGAGUAGUCC
rnacentral:rRNA from 1 species